rnacentral:rRNA from 1 species
AUUGAACGCUGGCGGCAUGCCUUACACAUGCAAGUCGAACGGCAGCGCGGACUUCGGUCUGGCGGCGAGUGGCGAACGGGUGAGUAAUACAUCGGAACGUACCCUGUUGUGGGGGAUAACUAGUCGAAAGAUUAGCUAAUACCGCAUACGACCUGAGGGUGAAAGUGGGGGACCGCAAGGCCUCACGCAGCAGGAGCGGCCGAUGUCUGAUUAGCUAGUUGGUGGGGUAAAGGCCCACCGAAGGCGACGAUCAGUAGCUGGUCUGAGAGGACGAUCAGCCACACUGGGACUGAGACACGGCCCAGACGUCCUACGGGAGGCAGCAGUUGGGGAAUUUUGGACGAAUGGGGGCAACCCUGAUCCAGCAAUGCCG